rnacentral:rRNA from 1 species
GAUGAACGCUGGCGGCGUGCCUAAUACAUGCGAGUCGAGCGAACAGACGAGGAGCUUGCUCCUCUGACGUUAGCGGAGGACGGGUGAGUAACACGUGGAUAACCUACCUAUAAGACUGGGAUAACUUCGGGAAACCGGAGCUAAUACCGGAUAAUAUAUUGAACCGCAUGGUUCAAUAGUGAAAGACGGUUUUGCUGUCACUUAUAGAUGGAUCCGCGCCGCAUUAGCUAGUUGGUAAGGUAACGGCUUACCAAGGCAACGAUGCGUAGCCGACCUGAGAGGGUGAUCGGCCACACUGGAACUGAGACACGGUCCAGACUCCUACGGGAGGCAGCAGUAGGGAAUCUUCCGCAAUGGGCGAAAGCCUGACGGAGCAACGCCGCGUGAGUGAUGAAGGUCUUCGGAUCGUAAAACUCUGUUAUUAGGGAAGAACAAAUGUGUAAGUAACUAUGCACGUCUUGACGGUACCUAAUCAGAAAGCCACGGCUAACUACGUG